UACGUAGGUGGCAAGCGUUGUCCGGAAUUAUUUGGCGUAAAGCGCGCGCAGGCGGCCUCUUAAGUCUGAUGUGAAAGCCCCCGGCUCAACCGGGGAGGGCCAUUGGAAACUGGGAGGCUUGAGUAUAGGAGAGAAGAGUGGAAUUCCACGUGUAGCGGUGAAAUGCGUAGAGAUGUGGAGGAACACCAGUGGCGAAGGCGACUUUUUGGCCUAUAACUGACGCUGAGGCGCGAAAGCGUGGGGAGCAAACAGG
rnacentral:rRNA from 1 species